UGGCCCCAAGUUCUCUACCUAGGUCUGCGCGUUUUUCCUAAAAAAGACAGUAAACCUCGUGGCACGCCCAAGGUAUGUGACAAGAAAAAUAGCAUGCACCCUAUAAAACUAAGGGUUCUCUUUUAAUCCUCUCUAUGUCACGUAGCGGCGAAGGCUGGCUCCAAGAUCUGGAAAUUGAGAAAAGUUGCUCUUUCUCACACACUAAGGGUCGACCUCUACCUUCCUUUAAAAAGAAAACAGCUACUGACCCUGAGGCGCCUGGGAACUACAGCCAAAGUUACCACUGAACAGUUCAGUUCCCGCGCUGCCCCGCGCCCCUUCUCCCUUCGGGAUCUGGCUUCAGUUUGCCCCCAACUGUGAACGGGCCAUCGAGAAACAAGGCGACUGGGCAAACUUUCACCCACACAAUGUAUCGCACACCUUUCCUUCCCUUCUCCCCACUUCCCUGGCCCCGCUCGGCACCGCCGGGAGCGUCGCGGGGGAGACGCACGUUCCCAGCGCGGUUUCACGCAGGGGAGCUGGGGAGGAGGUCGAAGUUCGAGCACGCGCCUGGGUCCUUGGGCACCUUCUCAUUCUCUGAUUUCCUCGGUUUUUUUCAUUGUCUGUGUUGGUGAGGUAAUUACUAGAAAAAAUGAUGUUGACCUGUGACAGAUAAUCUCAUUAUCAUUCUUUAUAAUUAAGGAGUCCAAUUUUUUAGAUGCCCUCCCCACUCAUGCAACCCGUAUUUGGGUUGAUGGGGUGAGCCUGAUUGACAAUCUUACUCCUCCUUGCAAGUGAUUGGCUGAGGAAUGGGAGUCCCCAAAUUGACCUGAAGAGAGUUGAGACCUGAAGAGUGGUUUGCUGGGGCUCCUGGGAAGUGUUUUGCCCACUACUCCAGGAAUGCUUGCAGAAGUGACCCUCUAACUCUUCUUCUGGAUCUUGACACGUAUGGGUAUAUGAGGCUCAGACCUUUAAGGCUAUCUCAUCACCAACCUUGAGGAUGGAACAAUACUAGGAGAAGAUAGGGCCAAGAAUCACAAGGGAAAAGGGCUGUCUAUAGGAUUAAGUCAUCUUCAAAUCUAUCCUACAACUCAGUUUACAGUUAUAUCACUCAGCACAUCUCAUUAUUAUUUUAUCCAGUUGAGAUUUUUCU